AUCACUUCACAUACUCUAGGACGGCAUAGAAAGGGUCCAGGUAGAGUGCCCUGAAUCCGGUGAACCCGACGAUGAGGCCGAGCUGCCGGAACUCCUCCUCGGACCGCUCCCUCCCCUGGGUCCGGUAGGUGGUCAUGACGAAGAUGUCGUUCUCCAGCAGCGCCCUCGUCCUCGUGCUGCUGUCGGUCGUCUCCGGCACCACCGGCUCGCAGGCGAUGAGCUUCCCGCCCUCCGGCAGCGCCUUGUGGCAGU